rnacentral:rRNA from 1 species
GACGAACGCUGGCGGCGUGCUUAACACAUGCAAGUCGAACGGUGAAGCGCCUUCCUUUUUGGUGGGUGUGGAUGAGUGGCGAACGGGUGAGUAACACGUGAGUAACCUGCCCCCUUCUUCUGGAUAACCGCAUGAAAGUGUGGCUAAUACGGGAUAUUCUGGGUCUGUCGCAUGAUGGGUCUGGGAAAGAUAUUGUUUCGGUGGGGGAUGGGCUCGCGGCCUAUCAGCUUGUUGGUGGGGUGAUGGCCCACCAAGGCGGUGACGGGUAGCCGGCCUGAGAGGGUGAACGGUCACACUGGGACUGAGACACGGCCCAGACUCCUACGGGAGGCAGCAGUGGGGAAUAUUGCACAAUGGGCGCAAGCCUGAUGCAGCGACGCCGCGUGAGGGAUGGAGGCCUUCGGGUUGUGAACCUCUUUCGCCAGUGAAGCAGGCCUGCCUCGUUUGUGGGUGGGUUGACGGUAGCUGGAUAAGAAGCGCCGGCUAACUACGUG